rnacentral:rRNA from 1 species
GACGAACGCUGGCGGCGUGCUUAACACAUGCAAGUCGAACGGAAAGGCCCUGCUGUUGUGGGGUGCUCGAGUGGCGAACGGGUGAGUAACACGUGAGUAACCUGCCCUUGACUUUGGGAUAACUUCAGGAAACUGGGGCUAAUACCGGAUAGGCGCUCCUGCUGCAUGGUGGGGGUUGGAAAGUUUCGGCGGUUGGGGAUGGACUCGCGGCUUAUCAGCUUGUUGGUGGGGUAGUGGCUUACCAAGGCUUUGACGGGUAGCCGGCCUGAGAGGGUGACCGGCCACAUUGGGACGGAGAUACGGCCAAGACUCCUACGGGAGGCAGCAGUGGGGAAUAUUGAACAAUGGGCGGAAGCCUGAUGCAGCACCGCCGCGUGCGGGAUGACGGCCUUCGGGUUGUAACCCGCUUUCGCCUGUGACGAAGCGUGAUUGACGGUAAUGGGUAAAGAAGCACCGGCUAACUACGUG